CUUAUAUGUAAGGCGAAAAGAAAAUGGCGAUCAAACAGAAUUGGCAUCUUACAAGGAAAACUGCAACUUCCCCUAUAAAAGCUCUUUCAACCUCUGGCUCAUCAGAUCAUAGAGCUUUAUGAAACAGCAAAGUUCAUAUGUUCAUUUACCUGACAAGGAUAUGGUUCAGCAUCAGCUAACAAUAUGGUGCAGUUUUAAAAGAUUUGGUCACACCAUGGAUAGCGUGGAUAGGUCACACCGUAGAUAGGUCACACCAUGGAUAGGUCACGCAGUGGAUAGGGAUAAUAGGUCACAGGAUAGUGUUUGGCAUGAUAAAGAGAAAUGCAUUCUUAUCUCAA